CGCUAUAUAUAGGUGGCUCUCCCCGUUCGUUUUCUUUGCCUCACGGGCUGCGGUUUCUAUUUUAUGCCUAUUGAUGGUUCGUCCUGCCUCUGCCCGGAGCCGGAGCGACUUGCCUCGCCCAGGCAGCCAUCCUGAUCCUGGGAUUCGAGGAGCCGUCAUUAAUCGGGCGUGUAAUGGUCGGAGCAGCGCUGCUGCUCGAGGUCGUCGUGCGUUAAUGAGAGAGGAUGCCGUUGGUGGCCAACGGUCCGAUGUUCGUUCAUUGCGUCGGGUCGCCAUGCGGUUCGUCGUCCUAUCAGCCAUGCGGUCAAUGACGGCCACAACCUCGGCGCCCCGGGCUACAAUGAAAGCGGCUGUGGCGGGGAUGGGACGGACGAUGCUCCUGCUGCGUGCGGAGCUCGCGUGGAGGCGGCUCAUGCAUCUGGUGCGCCUGCAGGAGGCAGCGGUAUUGAACUCUUGAUGGCGCGCAUGGGCAUGGCAUAUGUCGUGAGGCGAAGCAGCCCGUGGGCGCGAGGUCGCCCGCUCGAUGGUGCCGUCGUGCGGGUUUCCGGGGAUCCGUCUUGGGUGCUGGAGCUAUCACGCAGCCGCCACUCCAGUCACUGCCUCCGGCCGCUUGCAAGUCCUGCGGAGACAACUGUUCUCUAGGCCCGUUUACCUGUGGGAGCCGCGCCGGUGCUUGGAGAGAGAAGGUUGCGGCGGUAUGGCGCUCAUGAUGCAUGCCACGGUCCGCGGUCUACCUCGGUCAAGGUUAAGCUCGAGGGCGGGAGCUGGCGGUGCGCUGGGGAACCGCCGGAACGAGAUUAGUUUGGCAAGAUCCGGAUGGGAGGAAUCUCCGCUGCUUCCCGGGGUCGUCGUCGUGGUCGUGCCGCCGUGCUCCACAGUCUGGAGCAUUUUACAGUGCAUCCGGACGAUAUGGACCGUCCGUCGGAGCGAAUUCGACGGUCCAGAUCCGAUGUAAUACGCUGAUGUCACGUGUAUUAUAUCAGACCCCGAGGGGCAUUUUCGGAAGAAAAAAUAUUUCGAACUGAUCUGAUUUUUCCUCCCAAAUAUUUCGAGGGUAUUCUCGGUAUGAAUUGUAGGGCUAUUUUCAGUUCGAUAUUUAUCCCGUUCGCUAGGGUUUAUUCCUCGCCGCCGCUACGGUUUUAAUCCUCGCCGACAGGAUCUAGCCGCUCGUCGCGGCCCCUUCCUCCCUCGUCACCGGCAGGAUCUAGCCGCGCGUCGCGGCCCCUCCCUUCCUCCACCCCAAUUCCCUCGCGGUCUCGCACCACCUUUUCAACGAACACGAGAGGAGGCCCACUUCCCUCCCCGCGGCGGCCGCCGGCGAAGAGUCGGCGCCAUCCCACCUCCCAGUCCUCCAUGCGGGUGCCUAUAGCCACAAGGUUAUAGGCAACCUCUUUCCCACACCCCAAUUGGUUGUUUGCGUCCUCUACACAUUAUUUCUCAGCCAUGGCUGCAGCUUUGAUCUGGCCAUGCAUCUCGUCCGAUGGCAAGGUGGUUGGGUAUGGAUCAUGUUCUGCGGGACAAGAUGAAGCCGGCCGCCGGCCUCGACGGCCAGCCCCAUUCGUCCAGCCCCGACUGUUUAAUCUACGGACGUUCAAUCGUUGCAUUCAACAUGUAUUCUUUCAAUUUGGCUGAUAGGUGAGAUUUGGAGAUCAAUAGAGAUGAUAAGCUAUUAAUUUUGGAAUGUACUAUAAACAAUUCAUAGCUUAUGUUGCUCAAUAUUUAUGAUGCUCGCUUCUUCUUGUGCAAUUGCUGGACUGGGAUCAACAGACUUGGCAUGUGCUUUAUAUGAAAAAUUAGAUUCACAUGGGAUAUCCACCUUUUCAAGAUUGUUGUUAAGUCUUAUUAUGAUGUUUUAGCCUUGUUAAAGGGAGAGUAAUGGUCCUCGCAAAAAGCAGAGAGAAAGGAAUGAGCAUUCGAUUCUUUCAUAUGUUGCAUUUCAUUCUUCCGUGUUUAGUUAUGUCCAACAUUUGUUACAUGCACACACUUGACAAGGUUAGUACAAGUAGUAAUUUUUUCUCUGUUUUGCAGGGCUAUGACAGAACAUGCUAUGUGAUUCCCUGAGGCAGGAUGGAUGUACCAUGGCCACACCACUGUGCUCCUGAAGGUGAACGCUUCAAUUCAGUGUUGCAGCACCUGCAGAGGCCCCCUAUGGUACGUGCUUUUACUCUUGUUAUCCUAUGCUCUAUUUUUUGGCUUUGCGGCCUGCCUACGAGACAUAGCUGGGAUUGCGUGUUGAAUCAGGCAGUAUUUUUGACUUCUGUUGUGAGGCUAUGCUCAUGCUUUAAUAAAUUUUUCUCUCGUAUGAAAAUAGACAUAUCAUAAUCCAUUAUUCUUCUAGGGUUGCCCCAGGCACCAUUAGUGUUACAUGGUAGUAAAAAGCAAAUAUAGAUUUCUACGAGAUCCCGUAGAGACCAAAUUUAUUUCAAGCAAAAUAUAGUAACCAAUAUUAUUGAAGUUUUACAACUUGACUCAUGUGCAAUGGACUAAGAAACGGCUAGGAAACCUUCUUCGGGACUAAAACCCAACCACACCCUACUCUAUCGCUUUAUGGCCAAGUGUACACUCCACAUGUAAGAAUGAACCACAAUGCUAGAUUAACUGCUUGCAUCCUCGUCGUCUUCAACCGCAGCUGCAUCCGAUUGCCUAGCAUGGUACUGCUUGAACCUACUCCUGUAUUUCAUUUUUUUGUAGGGUGAAUCGACAAGCACAACAUGUAGCUCUCUUCUAAAUUUGUCGAUGUAGGCCUGCAUGCGAGGAUAUGUUAGUAUCGUUCCAUAUGUUUCAGAAAAUGACAGAAUUUUAGGUGUUACUCUACGUACUUCGUCAUAUUGCAACCUCAG